UUGGCAGAACUGAAGGAUAAAGUCUUCUCUUGAGCUGCCGUAUGGAAACAUCCGGACUGUGAAGCAGUUCCAGUGGCUGUGAAAGUUUCCUCCCACAGUCAUGCCAGUGCAGCUCAAGCUUCCAAUAGAAGGACCACCCCCAAGGGUGAGAGAGGAAUUAAUUCUUCAUAGCCCGUUCAGCACUUGGCCUCU
ensembl:misc_RNA